GUUAAACCCUUCCUGUAUUUGGGGAAUUUCCCCUUAGGAGACUUGUGGGAAGCAGAACGUCCACCAGAGAAGUGAGAGAUUCUAGAAGCUCACUGUCUCAGCCUCUUGCAGCUACAGCACUUAACUUGGACAUCACCCAUCAGACGCACUCAUCUCAAUAGAAGUUACAGUGGGGCAGCAAUGCAAGACAGCAGCAAUCAACUGUGCCAGGGACCUGUCAGUGGCAUCUCUGCAAGCUGUAGGCCCACUACUUGGGGACAGCAUCAGUGUCAUCCUCGCUACACCAGCUGACAGCCUGCUGUCCAUUGAACAUCUACUGUGUGCAGUUGGGAAACUGAACUGGAGGCCAAAGGCCUCACGAAGAGGCACAGAAAUGGAGCUAAAAUGGAAAAGGGCCCA